rnacentral:lncRNA from 1 species
UAAGGGAAUGGGGAUAGGUUUUACCCUUGGAGUUAGUGGUCAAGUUGGUGGGAUGGAAUCCUUGUUCUGUUGCUUAUCUGUGAAGUCUGUAUGAUUCUAAGGACGAAAGGCACCCCCGUCUCCAUCAAAGCACACACGAGGGGUCUCACACACUGCUGUUAGUAACUGUGGUUUCCUGAUUCCCUGGCACAUGAAGUGGGGAGAGGAGACAGUGCUAUCUGAACAGAAGUCCUCUCCCAGACCCUGGCCAAAGGGAUCCUCCUCUUCCUUAGAAAUCAAUGGAAUGUAUAUUCAUAUUCUUUAAUAGGAAAGUAAAAAUGAAUACAGUUUUUUGGAAGUGCCUGCAUUCUCAACUGACUAUAAAUUCAGGAAUGACGAUUAAAUGGCCCUAAUGUUUGAUCUAGAAAAGUACUCUGCAGUCACCAAGAAUUUAUCUUAAACUGACUUGAACCACAGUUUAUUCCACGAGACAAUUAUAUAAACUCUCUCCUGGGAUUAUAUUGAUAAAAAUUCUACAUCCUCUCUGGCUUGGAUAUAUUUACAGGUGAACCACGUUAAAUUCAAUUAAGCACUGGU